AGGGUUUGAUUAUGGCUCAGGAUGAACGCUGGCGGCGUGCUUAACACAUGCAAGUCGAGCGAAGCAAUUUAAGUGAAGUUUUCGGAUGGAUCUUAGAUUGACUGAGCGGCGGACGGGUGAGUAACGCGUGGAUAACCUGCCUCACACAGGGGGAUAACAGUUAGAAAUGACUGCUAAUACCGCAUAAGCGCACGGUACCGCAUGGUACAGUGUGAAAAACUCCGGUGGUGUGAGAUGGAUCCGCGUCUGAUUAGGUAGUUGGUGAGGUAACGGCCCACCAAGCCGACGAUCAGUAGCCGACCUGAGAGGGUGACCGGCCACAUUGGGACUGAGACACGGCCCAA
rnacentral:rRNA from 1 species